rnacentral:misc_RNA from 1 species
GAUGAAGAACGUAGCGAAAUGCGAUAAGUAAUGUGAAUUGCAGAAUUCAGUGAAUCAUCGAAUCUUUGAACGCACAUUGCGCCCGUCAGUAUUCUGGCGGGCAUGCCUGUUCGAGCGUCAUUACGCCCCUCAAGUCCCCUGUGGACUUGGUGUUGGGGAUCGGCGAGGCUGGUUUUCCAGCACAGCCGUCCCUUAAAUUAAUUGGCGGUCUCGCCGUGGCCCUCCUCUGCGCAGUAGUAAAACACUCGCAACAGGAGCCCGGCGCGGUCCACUGCCGUAAAACCCCCCAACUUUUUAUAGUUGACCUCGAAUCAGGUAGGACUACCCGCUGAACUUAAGCAUAUCAAUAAGCGGAGGA